GAUCGCAAUUCGGAAAACAUUUCGAUUGUCGACUCGCUGUUUCCCGCGACCGGGACGAGGGAAAGUUCGCCGAAAAUCCGAAAGAAUCGAAAAGCCUGCGAUAAACAAGAGAGAAAGAGAGAGAGAAAGAAAGAGAGAGAGAGAGAGAGAGAGAGAACGAAAGGAAAAGGAAUAUAAAGAGAGAUUUCAGGUUGUUAAGGAGGGAUCGACCACGUUUUAUCUCGUCGCGUAGAUCCGCGGUAUUCUUUGCCAUCCGUUUUCAUUUUUCAUGAAUCGUAUCAUAUAUGUAUAUCUCCGAGAGACUCGACCACGACCCGAAAGAAACAAAGAAAAUAAAAAGAAAGAAAAAAAGGAGAAAUAAGAAAGAGGGGCGAGGAUCAUUUCGUGUAGACUGGUGCCUGUUCUGGGUGAAUUCGAACACGCGAUGCUACGCAUCGGUGGACGGCUGAGCUCGCGACACUGGGUGCAACAACUUUAGGCACGAAAGAAGGACGAAUAUCAAGAAGGAUUUAGUUCAGUUCGAUCGACCGGAACAUUGAGGAUCAAUUAUGUGUUCCUUUUUUAUAUAAGUUCAAUAUACACGACGUAUAACUCUUUGGACGAUAGAAAUUAAGAGAAAAAGAUGAUGUAUUGUAUAUAUAUACGCACAUAUAUACACAUGUAGAAAAAAAGAAAGUUUCCAUCAAAUAGCGAAUAUUCAGGAUUACCGAAGAAGCAGAAGCAGAAAGGAGAAAUUCAAAAUUCCUGUAUUUCGAUUCACGAAAGAAAGAUUGAUCAAACAAACACCCAAGACGUAGCUAAGACGUAGAUUAAAAUUAAAUAUCUCAGCUUGUAUCCCCGUGUCCGUUUGCAGUCACCUUACUCGGCCGAUCUCAUCGGUCAUGUCGCAUUUGCGCAUUUUGGGCCAGCUCGUCUAACUCUAACGUAAACCUAUUCGUUCGUGAGAAUCAACGGCAAGAUCAAGCCGAGAAAUUCAAAGCAAAAAGAGUAAAAAAAGAAAAAAAAAAAGAAAAAAGGGAAAACGUAAGAAGCGAGAAGAUAGGAGAGAGACAAGUGUCAAGGAACGAUCGUUUCGGCAGACUUCUGGAAAAACGUUUAAAAAUUCGUCACGGAUGCAAGUACGCGCCGCUCCACCGACGCGUGCGUACCAACGAUACGAUAUCAGUGAUACAAGAAACCCGCAAUAGAAACCCGCCUUCAACCCUCUGUAUAACACGCGACGAUCCAACUGACCCGGUCCAAUCCGACAGGUAUGCAAACACAGAAAAAACCGUUCGAAGGAAUCAACGCUGGACACACGAGAUAGUAAUCUUUUUUUUUCUUUUUUUUUUUUACCGCGACAGCCGCAACGAGCAUCAAGGAUAAACGUUGCAAUUUAACGACAAACAACGCAUCCGCAUGCAUCAUCACAGCCUACACACCGCGCGUCGCAGAAAAACAGUCAAACCACCACCGUGACAACGUUCAAACGUUCUAGGAGAAUGCGAUCAGCCUCGACGAGGCGUAAUGCCCCGCAACAUGAAAAAGAAAAAAGACAAAAAGCGAAAGAAGAGAAUAAAUAGCGUAGAGCGUCUCGGGAUCUCCCUUCGAUAACACACACACACACACAGCAGAUAUGUUAAAAGUUAAGAAACAAAGUAAUAAGAAAAAUGAAAAAAAAAAAUAAAUAAAUAAUUAAAUAAUAUAACGAUAAAGAAGUUAACGAGGAUACAAAAACUCGAUCUUCUUCGAUUAGUCUUCAGUGUACAUAGUAACGAUAUCACCGAUAGAUAAUAAUUCAGGCAGGCAAUAAUCGCAGCGACAAUUAUUGCUCGUUCGUCCGAUUCGUCGAAAACGUUGGACGAGGAAUAAUCAUUGUAAGGAGCGAUAAUAACGGCGUACCGACGGUUAAUUACCGAGAACGAUGGUGUCGGAUGCAAAUGCUCCCCGACGCCGGUCAAUAAAGGCAGCUUGAUAUUUCGUCGAUACCUUAUAACUGCAAGAUUAUCUCAAGAAACUUGUUGAUUUCCGUUCCCACAGUUUCACAAACAUUUCACCCUUCCACGCGCAUACACACACAUACAUACUCACAAAGGCGUGUAGAAAUUUCUUCGCCGAUCGUUUGCAGGUAACAGAACACGUCGAACAGACAGAUCGACGCCGGUUUUCUUUUCCCUCGGCAACAAACAUCUCUAGACACGUUCAUUCUGUAUUUAUACCUCGUUGCAACACACUUUUCACUCGAAAAAAAAAAAACUUUGUUGCGACAUCGAACGCCUACUUGUAGGCAACACAGAGAAGAUAAGUAACAAUUUAAGUUCAUUCGCAACCUAUAAUUUACAGACAGACACGUCGAACCCAAACGAUUCGACACCGGUUUUCAUUUGCCCAACUGGAACCACCGCACUGCGAUCCCGAAUACAGGGGGGAACAGUGCUCGUUAUAAAACGAUUUCAUUAACAAUUCUAUCGAGAUUUUUUCAUUUCCUAUCGAACGAACGCGACAACGAUUCAACAUUUUUCCGCGAUACCACAGAAAUGCAGCAGAUCGAACGAGAGAAUACGUUCCGAUCGUCGAAUCCGGCACAGACGCACAGAGAAACGAAAAUGAUCAUCCCAGCAAUCAAACAGGAUACCGAAGCUUAACGAUGUUAAUCUUCAAACAUAGUCUCGAAUAGAAUUCUAGCUACGCACCGCUGAAAUAUACGGCAUUUCUCACACGACUCUCAAUUCCGACGGGACAGCAUUACGAAUCGAAGCGGCGAGCAUCGUACUUCCGGCGAUCGAUCCGCGAUCAGGAAGCCGUGAAUACUAAAACGAGACGCCCCGUGAAUCAGAGGAUCAUUAUCAGGAACGAAGAGUGGAGCCACGUGGAAGAAGACAAAGUCGCUGGCCCGGUAUGCGGGCAAACGCCGACUAGCACGACACCGAAUUCUCGCUUGAACGAGAAGAAGAAGCCAAACCUACUACUAGUACUACUAUUACUGGAAGCAAAGCGAAUCCAUCGAGCAUGCACACAAACACACACGUACACGUCGACAAACACAAAGCACACGAAAACGCAGAGAAGCGAAAAAAAGAAAAAAAGAAAAAAAAGAAAAAGGAAAGAAACACACGAAGAAUAGGAAUCAAACCAGGAAAGAGACCAGAGCAAAAGAAAAAAAGAAAAACGAAAGAAAGGAAACAAAUGGAUGAGAACAAAAUGCACGACAGAUUUUUUUUUAUACGAAAUAAUCAACAUAACCGCCACAGAAACAGGUAGAGAAAGAAGUGUCGAAGAGAACAAGGGAUCGAACGGACGCGGGAGACGAGCGUUCUCCGCGCCGCCGAUUCGAGGCUAUAACUUGCUGAUAAUAAUAAGAAAAGAAAAAGAAGAAAAAAGAAACGUGAAACGAAUUAUACCCGAGAAAUCUUGCCACUUGCAAUUCGUUGAAAACGCGACGCGUUCUAAGCAAUUCGCAUAAUCGCAUAAUAAAGGAAAGCAACAAAACUAUGAAAAAAAAAAAAAAAAGAAAACGAAACGAAA